GACGAACGCUGGCGGCGUGCUUAACACAUGCAAGUCGAACGAAGUGGCAAACGGGUGAGUAAUACGUGGGUAACCUGCCCUCCUUUUUGGGAUAAGCCUUGGAAACGGGGUCUAAUACCGAAUAAAGGGGGAUGGGCUCGCGGCCUAUCAGCUUGUUGGGUGGGUGAUGGCCUACCAAGGCGGUGACGGGUAGCCGGCCUGGGAGGGUGACCGGCAACAUUGGGACUGAGAUACGGCCCAGACUCCUACGGGAGGCAGCCGUGGGGGCUAUUGCACAAUGGGCGAAGGACUGAUGCAGCGACGCCGCGUAGGGGAUGAAGGCUUUCGGGUUGUAAACCUCUGUUUUUAAGGAAGGAGGACUUAACCAGAAAGGGACGGCUAAAUACGUGCCAGCAGCCGCGGUAAUUC
rnacentral:rRNA from 1 species